UCUCACCUUUUGUUCAAAAUGCAAUAAAUAAGGAAAGAUUUUGACAUAUGUGAUUAAAAAUAUACAUAUUUCAGACUCCUUGUAGCAAAUAUACAUCUAUAUAUGUUUAUAUAAAUAUAUGCUACGACGUAGGCGAAAGAGAAAGAAAAAGCAAUUAGCGAUGCAAAUCGUGUCUUUUAUAAUCAAUGAAAUAAUAACUUUGGAAGAAAUAUUCGUAAUCCUUCUAAACAAGUUCUGCUCUGGCUGAAAGUAACUGGUUGUCAUACAAAUUUAACACCCAGACAUCAUCUGUACUUACUGAAACUGCUAACACAAAGAAUACGAAGAAAUUAAUCAAUAAUAUCUUGCAUUAAUUUCCACUGUGUUUAUUAUCAGUCAAAGACAUUUCAAUCAUUUUCUAAUCGUGUUGUCAAACUUUGUGUUGUAGUUAUAUCAUUAAAAAGAU
rnacentral:misc_RNA from 1 species